GUGUGACAGAGAAAGCAUCAAGUUUUCACAAAAAACACAUUUUUGAAGAAAAAUAUUUUCUUCCGCACCGAACACACCCCCUAACUCUCUCUUGUUUUCUUGUAUGGUAAUUGAAACCUUACGCUUAGAUCUCGUCACUUCAAUGUUUUUCAGUGAUCACAUUUCUCUAUCUCUCUUCACCAUACACAAACACUUCCAAAUUCCACCUCCAUAACCCCAUCUUCUUCCUCAUUUUCAGUAACCCCACAAAACAUCUCUCUUUUUAUUCUUUUUUCCAACCCCAAAAAUCCUUUCUUUAAUUCCUAAAUCAUAUGAUCUGAUCAUAAAGAUUCAAACUUUACACCCAUCUUAUGAGCAUAACAUGUUUGAUUUAAUGUAACAUUUCACUUUUCAUAAAGAUUUACUUAUUUAUAUCAAGAAUCAAGAAAAGAAAAAAAGGGGCCUUUUUAAGAUUCAAGAAUGUCACAAGUGAAACCUCUAAAGAAGCCACCAGGCUUUAAAGAUCCUACAAUACCAAUCCAAAUGCCACCAAGAAAGAUUAACCUUCCACCCUUAUUCAGUCCACAAAAGAGAAAAAACAGAACUUGCUGUUGUUGUUUUUGUUGUUUUUUGAUUAUACUAAUCUUGUUACUCUUAUUAGUAGCUUCUUGUGGUUUUCUAUACCUCUGGUUUAAUCCAAAACUCCCGGUUUUUCAUUUAAGAUCUCUUGAGUUUACUGAAUUCAAUGUCACUGAAAGCCAAGAUGGGCCAAAAUUGAAUUCACAAUCAUCAGUUGGGGUAGAGUUGAAAAACCCAAACAGGGAGUUGAAGAUUGUGUAUGGUGACAUCAAAGUGGAAUUGAAAGGCGAAAACGACGUAAACAUGGGUGCAGGGAAAGUUGUUGGUUUUGUGCAGGAGAAGAAGAAUGUUAAAGUUGUUAAAUUCGCUAUGAAAUCGAAUGAGUUGUUGUAUGGUGAGAGUGUUGGGAAAUUGAUUAAGAUUGGAUUCAAGAACAAGAAUUUAAGAGUUUCUGCUGAUGUGACUACUGCUAUUGGUAUUGGAUAUAAAGGAUGGAAGAGUUGGAAAUUUGGUGUUAGAGUUUCUUGUGGAUCUUUGAGGUUAAAGCAGAUUGAAAAUGAUGCUACAUCCAAAUGUGGCAUUACUCUUUUUAACUGGUAAGCUAAUACCACUCUAAAUAAAUUUACAAGACAUAAUACAUAGAUGAUGGACACUUUAACUUGGCCUUUAACGGCAGUAGAAUACCACAGGUUUCAUUGUGACCAUGUUGAUACAGGUUUCAUUUAAACUGAUUGAUUCAAGGCAUAUUCAAACAUGUAUAACUGGUAAAAAGGAACGAAAGGCAUCGUGAUGCUAUCGUCUUAGGAUGAGAAGAAUGAAAUGCUGAUUGUGCCUACAUUAAACUUCAUACAAAAGUGCAUAAUGUUAUACUCACCAUUUAGAUAUAAAAUCUUAUCUAAGUUAAUUUGAGAAGUUCCAUCUUAUAGCUGGUGUUUUAUAGUAAGGUAGUAGUAAGUGGAGUUGCAAGUAUACCUUAGAAUAAUUUCAACUUGUAACAAAACUAUACGCACCUGUAUAGCAUAGAUGUUGGAGCAUGGAAAGGACGAAAAAAAUAGAUAUAAGUGAGGUACAAUUUACUUGUAAAUAAGGCACUGGCUAUUUCUGCCAUGUGGGACAUUUUACAAAGUUUUUGAAAAUGUGAUAAUCCUCAUUG